rnacentral:lncRNA from 1 species
CUUUGAAUUCCACUUCAGCAUGGGUGGUCAUGAACCUCUCGGGUUGGAAUUCACCUGGGUUGGCCCACAUGCGUGGGUCCCGCUGUAGUUUCCAAAUGUUGACUAGUACACGAGUGCCCUUGGGCACGUGGUAGCCUGCCAGGUGGCAAUCCUCUGUUGCCUCACGCAGGCCUGUGAGUGGGCCAGGUGGGUAUACGCGUAGGGUUUCUUUGAGAAUGGCUUGGAGGUAUUUGAGGUUAGGGAGGUCUGAUUCUUGUACCCAUCUGUCUCUUCCUACUUGUAUGUCCAGUUCUUGUUGGGCAGCUUUUAGGGUUUUCGGGUUGUUCAGUAGUAGGGAGAGUGCCCAUGUUAGAGUGACGGAUGUGCUUUCUGUGCCAGUUAGGAUUAGAACCUGCCAAAAGCAAUUAAGGAAAACAAUUAAUAUUUGUAUAAUAAUUAAUAUUGUUGCUGAAUAGCUUUAUAUUGUUACACUAAAUUAACCUUACCAGUGCUGUUGAUUUGAUGACAUUAUCAAGGCUAUGGCCAGAAAUCACAUCGUCCUCCUCUUGCAAGCUGGAGAUCAUCACAUCCAUCAAGUCACUUUCAACCCUAUCUAUCUUGCCUUGAGGCCUUGAUCUCUGGCGAUGUUCUUCAAGCCAUUUCCCAAGCACACAGUCAAGUUCCUUGAAACACCUUUUCAUGGAACCCACAUGCCCAAACAAGCUGUCCAGCCACUCAAGCCACGGCAUAGCAUCUGACCAAACAAAAACGCCAAACAGAUACAAAGCCUCCUUCACAGCCUUUUCAAAACGCCAAGCCUCACUGUUUUUCUCAUUAUAUUGCUCAGCUGUGAAUCUCUUCCCAGCAAUCAGCCUCACGUUUAUGUUGAACGUUAAGAACUCAAUUAACUCACUUAAAUGCACUGGCGUGGGGCUCGCGCCAUUCUUCGUGCAAAGUGAGAGCAGAUUUUUGAUGAACAAGUCAACCUUCGAGGUCCUAACGUGGCUUAGCAUUUCGACUCUUUUGGUCGAGAGGAGCUCCAGCGUGGCCAGCUUGCGGACGUGGCGCCAGUAGGGCCCGUAGGGGGCUAGGGCAAAAAGUGCAUUGUCGUAGCCCAAGUGCUUGCCUCCUGCAAUGCUUGCUCGUGUGGCAAAAACUCUAUCGUUUGUUGUGAGACAUUCUUUGACUGUCUCCCAGGCGCUGAGGACCAGCACUUGGUGUUGGCCAAGCUUGAGGGAGAAGAUUGGUCCAUGGUCAUCUGCCAUGGCUCCCAAGGUUAUGGCAACUGGGUCUUUGCUACGUAACAGAGGGAGGUGGCCUAUGAAGGGCCAUGCUCCAGAGGGUUGGGGGACUAAUUUGGUCGUCACAGUCGUCUUUGUGCUGGUGAUCUUCUUCUUAGUGUGAGCUGUGAUUCUCAAGGCAGCAUAUAGAAUAAGCAAAGAUAAAAUUGUUUCAAGAAUUUGGAUUGGGGAAAUUGUAAAAUCCAUGGUGUUGGGGAGAGAGAGAGAGAGAGAGAGAGAGUGUUACAGAUGGGAAUAUGAUUGCGUGUAGGAUAUAGUUCAUUUUGCAAGUGUAUUUAUAGACACAGAUACGUCUCUUUCAAAAACAAAUAAACAAACGCAUUGAGAUACACAAUGGAUGCUCACCACAUCUCAAAUAUAUAGGAUAAUUAGAUAUUUAAUUUUUUUUCUCUUUCCAACAUCUCUGGUUUUCAUUCACUAGAGUGUCGGUUGGAGUUCGAUACUUAAAAAAUAUAUAUAUAUAUAUAUAUAUACUCUACUUAUAAGACAGUAAUGUUUACAAUUUUGAUGCAACAGUGCCGCUGCUAUAAAUCAUAGGACAAACUUACUUGGGCCCAUACCUUCAUAUCUAUGUCUACCAAAUUAAAUGAUUACCCGCUUGCAAACUUUUUCAAACAAAUAAAGUAAAAAUUGAAGGUGAUUCUAAGAGCAUCUCCACCUCAAAAGGCUAAGGUAAGGAUAAGAGCAAAGCAAGGGCAAUAGUGGCAGCUUUGUAAUUUGUGGUUCCACCUCAAAGGGCUAAGGCUAAGGCAAUUACUAUUCAUUGUACUUUAUUUUCUAUUUUUUUAUACUUUCAACUAUUAAUUUUGAUAAUUUUUUGUAAUUAAAUUUCCGGAUAAGAUUUUUAGUUGCCACGUGUCCAUCAUUUUUCAGAAAAGAUUUUCGAAUGAGACUCUCAGUUGCCACGUGUCUUAUUCCAAACAAACUUUUUGGAUAUUCAUUAAAAAAAAAUUAUAAUCUCAGAUUUCAAAUAAGAUUUUCACCCUCUAAAAUUGUGCCACGUGUCCCAUGUCAAAUAAGAUUUUCAGAUAUUUUAAAAAAAAAUUAUAAUCUAAUAUUUUAGAUAAGAUUUUCACCCUCUAAAAUUGUGUCACGUGUCCCAUGUCAGAUAAGAUUUUCAGAUAUUUUAAAAAAAUUAUAAUCUCAUAUUUCAGAUCAGAUUUUCACCCUCUAAAAUUGUGCCACGUGUCAUCUCUAUCUUCUGAAUCCCUCUAUAAAACUACACCAUUAACUUAUACCUCUCACACCAUUUCUUAUCUAUUCAUUCAUUUCUCAGAUUUUACAAAACACAUUCUACUCUUAAUGUCAAACUUGAGGAGGUUGUUGGAGAGGCAACAGAAAGAAGAGGAACAAAUCUGGCGUAGAUGUGCUGAUAAAGAUGAGGAGGCCGAUAAAGAAGAGGAAGACAUGCUUGCAGCAGCGGUGUGUAUGCUUAAUCAAUCAAGGCAACACCGCCGUAGUCGUGCCCCAAAUGUGGACAGACGUAGGGAGUCUCGAGGUAAAAAUCUCUUGGAAGAUUACUUUAUCCCAAAUUCGUUAUAUCAUGUUCAUAAGUUUCGAGAGAGAUAUAAAAUGCAGCCACAUUUGUUCCGAAAAAUCAUGCAUGAUAUUUGUAAUUACGACACAUACUUCAUUCAAAAAUAUGAUACUGUUGGAGUUUUCGGUAUUCUCCCGGAGCAAAAACUUACAGCUACUUUGCAGAUGCUUGCUUAUGGGGCAUCUGCAAAGCAGGUGGAUGAGAUUGCAAGGAUGGGAAAAUCAACUAUCCUAGAGUGCUUGGUGAGAUUCUAUGAUGCAGUGGAAAAUUUGUACACAAGGGAGUACCUUCACAAACCCACGCCAAGGGACCUGCAAAGGCUUCUACAAAAAGCUGAGGCUCGAGGUUUCCCAAGAAUGAUUGGAAGCAUCGAUUGCAUGCACUGGCAGUGGAAGAAUUGUCCUACUACUUGGCAAGGAGACUAUGGGAAUCGGAAGGGCAAAAAAAGUAUAAUUUUGGAGGCCGUAGCUUUAUUCGACUGUUGGGUUUGGCAUGCCUUCUUCGGAAUUGCCGGAUCUUAGAAUGACCUCAAUAUCCUUGGUCAAUCCCCGGUACUCGACGAGGUAUUGUGAGGUCAUGACCCCCAGAUCACCUACCAAGUCAACAAUACCGUAUACUCUGGUACGUACUACUUUGCCGACGGAAUUUAUCCUAGGUGGACAACAUUUGUGAAAACAAUUCCAAAUCCCCAAUCCGAGAAAGAAAAAAGCUUUGCUGCCUUUCAAGAAGGUUACAUGAAAGACGUGGAAAGGUGUUUCGGUAUAUUGCAAGCUCGUUAGGCAAUUAUUAGGGGUGCUGCUUGGAUGCUAGAUGAGGAGGUGCUGCAGAGCAUUAUGCUGACUUGCAUCAUCCUCCACAACAUGAUUGUGGAGGAUGAGUUUGAUUAUGAUGCUUCAGAUGUGUUUGAACCCGAUCCCAUGAACACGGCGUUGACAAGAAUGUAUGAAAGGCCAAUGAGACCAAAUGGACAACCAAUGGAGCCCAAACCGUUACUUCGGGAUGGUCGAUACAACAACCCAAUGAUUGAUUGUUAUCAAGAAAUGCAAUCUUAUAUGUUCACGAGAGACAUCAACUUGACUUGAUCGAGCACUUGUGGGAGAUGAAAGGCAAUCACAGUGGAUGAAGUCAAGAUACAAGCUUUGUUUGGAAUUAUGCUUUAUUUUGUGUGUGGUGUUUUUUGGAAUUAUGCUUUUUUUAUUAUUAUUAUGCUUUUAAGUAUGGUUUGUUUUGUGUGUUGUUUGCAAUAAAUUAAGGUUUGUUUUUAAUUAAUCUUUGUUUUGAUGCUCAAAUGUUUUUAAUAAAUUGUCAUAUUAUUUAAUGCUUUCUUUAUUGAAUAAAAAGGAAACAAUACAACAAAUUAAUACAUAUGGCAAAGGUGUUUCAAUACAACUUAAUGGUUUUCAUCAUUUAACCAAUCCGUAUUGCUAGGUCCAUCGUCAUGGAAAAGUUUUCUUCUCAUCACAUCCCUUCGUCUUAGCUUCCAAUAGGCCUUUGUUUCAGAAGACAUAUGGCUUGUAUCCAUGGCCAUGAUUUUCAUCUCUCUAUCAUCCAUGUCUUUUUCUUUUGCCUGCUGCUGUUGAAUGCAAAUGCUUCCUGUCGUGCCUUGUUCGCUUCAUCUCUUUUUAAGUCUCUCUCAAUUCUUAGUGCAGUGUUCUUAGCUAUUUGCUCCAAUAAUUGUACACAUUCAUUGUUCGAAGUGCUCCCUCUCUUGGCCUUCGCCGCCUUUCUCCCAAUAGGUCUCGACGGAUGUGGAAGUGGUGACUCCGUUUCCAUUGGGAGUCCAAUGGCGAAUCGGUUGUUGACGAAUCGUGGAGCGGCGUCUCAUUUAAUACAACCGGUAGACCUGUGGGAAUAAUGUUGAAUCUCGAAAAAUCCUUCACAACUUCCCAACAUUGGAAAUGCAAGAAACUUUUUUUUCUUUGCCCCAUGGCACCGAACCAAAGUUGUGCUUGUAUGAUCUAUUAAAAAUAAAUAAUUGGAAGUGUAAGAAAAAAAUAUAUAUUAUGCAAGAAAAUAUAAACUAUUUUGAAAUGCAUGAAUAAAAUUGAUUAUGCAAGAAAAUAUAGACAAAUUGGAAAUGCAAAAAGAAAAAAAAAAGAUUAUGCAAGAAAAAGAAAUAUAAUAUGCAAUAAAAAAAAAGCUACAUGAAAUUGAUUUAAAUGGCAAUUAUAAAUAUUUUACCUUAUCGGAUAGAUUUUGACCGCUUCGAAUGUUCUCCCUUGCUUUUGUCAAGGCAUUUCUCCAUUUCCCUAACUCUUUAUUCAGAAUUUUCCAUCUACUAGACAAGGUCAUUUCGGUUCGAAUAGAACCCGAUCUUUGACAAAAUUCUCCCUGAAUUUUGCUCCACAUAUGAGGCAACUUCAUCUCAUUGCCCGAGACAGGGCAAUGACUAACGAUCACCCAAGACUGACACAACGCAAUAUGUUCAUGAGUUGUUCACGCACCUCCAGCUUCGACAGAAGAUGGCAUUUGUUUUUUGAUACAAAUGGAAAGUAGUAGAAAAAUGUGAGUGGAGAGUAAAAAAGAUUGGAAUGAGAAGAGUUUAGAUGAAGAAUUGGUGUGGAAAGUGAAUAAUGUGAGUGGAGAGUAAAAAAUAUUGGAAGGAGAAGAAAUUGUAUGAAGAUUUGGUGUGGAGAGUGAAUAAAAUUGUUAGGUAUUUUUAAGGAAAAAAAUCCAGAAUUUUUGGUUUUUUUUUAAAAAAAAAAUUCAGAAUUUUUUAGCCAAAAAAAGGAGGACCGUCGGAUUUCUAGAAAAAAACUGAUCGGAGAGUCUGGGUUGCGACACGUGGCGCAUGCCCGUUGGAUUCUGUUAGCUCUGACGUCACCUCCCUUGGGCUGAAGCCUAGGCGAAACCUGCCCUUGGGCUUGCCCGAGCCUCUUUUCUCGCGCUGGAGCAGUCUUGGGCUUGCUCGGGGGGCCUCCUGCCGGGUUUGCGUGCAGCACUGGAGCUGCUCUAAGUCAAGUCACCCAUUCAAACUCUACAUCGUCAAGUUUCCAUUACCUGGCCGCUAAUCAAUUAUCCAAUACAUCAAUUGGCUUCUUUGAUAUUUUUUUUGGUUGUGAAAGUUAGGAAGGGGGUGGAAAACUUAUACACAGGUAUUAUGGGGGCUUGAAUUUAGGAUCACUUGGAAGCAUAUCAAGAGCAUAGGCCAAUCCAGCUAACACCCCAUUGAUCUUCUUUAAGACUUUCAAGCAGUUAAAAUUGCACAUAACUUCCCGGAAAUAAAUAUGGUUUUAGAUUUUUUAAGCAAAUUUAGGGUGUAAUCUUCCUAAUAUAUGUCUUUGUCCACGAAUUUAAUGGGGCUCAGUUCUAUUAGAAAGAUCGUCCUAAAAAUGUAAUAAGCGUAGUAUUUUCCUUUAAGAUGUCAUCCUAAUAAUGAUUUCCAACUUUCCAUAAUGAAAUGAAUGCCACUCGUGAAUAUUCAAAUACUCGUUAUUGGCGAUUUUCACACCUCAUAACCCUAACAAAGCCUUCCAUUCCACUGACAGGUGACACAGGUCAUAUAUCAUUCAACAACCAUUACGUACCCAAUUAAUAUUUGACUUCUAAAUUCCUAAUACAUAUCUGGAUGGCUAUGAAUUAAUGGUCGUACCCUUUAGAAUUCAAAGGUUAAACUUGUGGUGUGGAAGAAAACACACAUCAAACACAGAACAAACGUUGUUCGAUCGACCAUGAUUCUUUGUCCUGGGGUGAAAGAUAUUCUACAAAGUUGCCUUCGAUGUAAAGCCUGGUUGAAAAGUAUCAGGCCCUAUGAACAUAUGGACGAGAUUUCGUUGCCAGAUGAUACUUUGAGCAGUUUGUAGAGCAGAGCUUAUUUAGGCCAUUGGGUGGGGACCUUGGUCGAAAACGUUUUCCACGUAUCGAUGGCUUUAGUUUAUGUUAUAACACAUGAAUAAUAAUGUUAAAUUUGUAUACCAAUCAAACUUUGCCGAGGGGUGUAUUUCAGUAAACAAAAGUGUAUUGAUUUGUAGACUAACGAUAUCAAAUUUGAACUCAUUUUUUCGGUAGUUUAAACUAUCAUUUGUAUUUUAUUGUAAGAAAUAAGUUUUAUUAAGAAUCACAAAAGAGAGAGCAAAACAAAAUUGAGGCCACCACAAGAAAACCAAAGGCCGAGCCAUGCUAAAAACCCACUACAUAGAUAAAGUUCACUACAAACAUAAAGCCCACCAAAAAAAAUUUCAUAACUUAUCAACUGUUUGUGCGGGUGUGGAUAAAAUAAGGGAUAGUCUGAAUUGGGUUCAUAUAUUUGUUUCUUGGAAAAAUUGUAGCAAUGGUCUCUUAAAUAAGACCCCAUUUUACUUUUCGUUUCUCAACCCUAAAAAUUAUUAUGAUUAUCCUUCAAUUAGAUCUAUUGUUGCAUCAGUCGUCCUUUUCAUCAGUUCUAAUUGUUUUUCCGUCAAAAAUAAAGGUAAAUUAGAAAAUUCAUAUCAACUUUUAUUAGAUAAAUAAACUCAUUUAUCUAUAUAUAUAAAGCAAAAUGCAGAGAGUGGUAAAAUAUUCAAAAUAUCAGAAAAUACCAUUGGUUAAUGCAAAUAUUAAGAAUUGAAAUUAUUAAUUAAAUGAGGAUAAUAUGGUAAAUUUCCAUCUUUUCAUAUUAAAAAAAUUAAAAGAAAAAGAAAAAUCACAUAAUAGAUCUUAUUUUUAUGGAAUACAUCUACCCAUUAUCUCUUUUAAUUCUAAAAUACAUUUAAACUUUUAAAAAAAAAAAAAAAAAAAAAAAAAGCCUUUCGUAGGUGCAGAAGAGCGUGCGAAAAGACUAGUAAACUUAAAUUCCGAGUGUAGGAUACGUACAAGAAGCCAUUUACAAGAUUAACGUUGUCCUAUCUUUAGCUCCUUACUUAAAAUUCAUAAUGUUACAUAUUGGGCACAAGUGAAUUUAUUAUAUAAAAGUGAACUAUAAUAUUUCCUGCCAACGUUUGAAGCUGCCAACUUCUUCAAAGACAUUAUUUAUAGAGGUGAAGAGGAAGGCGUGGGGAUAGCAAAGCCUCCAGCGGAUUUGCUUUGGGCAGGGCAAGCCCCAGCCCUUCACGCAUGUCCACUGCCUCCUCACCAACCCUACUCAUAUCAAAACCCUGAACCAAACGAGCCAGAAUUAAUUGGACCACUUGCAGCCCCAAAACCAUGCCAGGGCACGACCUCCUGCCUGAGCUGAACGGAAUAUACUCAAAAUUAUUUUGACCUUUGAAUUCCACGUCAGCAUGGGUGGUCAUGAACCUCUCGGGUUGGAAUUCACUUGGGUUGGCCCACAUGCGUGGGUCCCGCUGUAGUUUCCAAAUGUUGACUAGUACACGAGUGCCCUUGGACACGUGGUAGCCUGCCAGGUGGCAAUCCUCCGUGGCUUCACGCAGGCCUGUGAGUGGGCCAGGUGGGUAUACGCGUAGGGUUUCUUUGAGAAUGGCUUGGAGGUAUUUGAGGUUAGGGAGGUCUGAUUCUUGUACCCAUCUGUCUCUUCCUACGUGUAUGUCCAGUUCUUGUUGGGCAGCUUUUAGGGUUUUUGGGUUGUUCAGUAGUAGGGAGAGUGCCCAUGUCAGAGUGACGGAUGUGCUUUCUGUGCCAGUUAGGAUUAGAACCUGCCAAAAGCAAUUAAGGAAAACAAUUAAUAUUUGUAUAAUAAUUAAUAUUGUUGCUGAAUAGCUUUAUAUUGUUACACUAAAUGAAACUUACCAGUGCUGUUGAUUUGAUGACAUUAUCAAGGCUAUGGCCAGAAAUUACAUCCUCCUCCUCUUGCAAGCUGGAGAUCAUCACAUCCAUCAAGUCACUUUCAACCCUCUCUAUCUUGCCUUGAGCACUUGAUCUCUGGCGAUGUUCUUCAAGCCAUUUCCCAAGCACACAGUCAAGUUCCUUAAAACACCUUUUCAUGGAACCCACAUGCCCAAACAAGCUGUCCAGCCACUCAAGCCACGGCAUAGCAUCUGACCAAACAAAAACGCCAAACAGAUACAAAGCCUCCUUCACAGCCUUUUCAAAACGCCAAGCCUCACUGUUUUUCUCAUUAUAUUGCUCAGCUGUAAAUCUCUUCCCAGCAAUCAGCCUCACAUUUAUGUUGAACGUUAAGAACUCAAUUAACUCACUCAAAUGCACUGGCGUGGAGCCCGUUCCAUUCUUCGUGCAAAGUGAGAGCAGAUUUUUGAUGAACAAGUCAACCUCUGAGGUCCUAACGUGGCUCAACGUUUCGACUCUUUUGGUCGAGAGGAGCUCCAGCGUGGCCAGCUUGCGGAUGUGGCGCCAGUAGGGCCCGUAGGGGGCUAGGGAAAAAAGUGCAUUGUCGUAGCCCAAGUACUUGCCUCCUGCAAUGCUUGGUCGUGUGGCAAAAACUCUAUCGUUUGUUGUGAGACAUUCUUUGACUGUGUCCCAGGCGCUGAGGACCAGCACUUGGUGUUGGCCAAGCUUGAGGGAGAAGAUUGGUCCAUGGUCAUCGGCCAUGGCUCCCAGGGUUAGGGCAACUGGGUCUUUGCCACGUAGUAGAGGGAGGUGGCCUAUGAAGGGCCAUGCUCCUGAGGGUUGGGGGACUAAUUUGGUCGUCACAGUCGUCUUUGUGCUGGUGAUUUUCUUCUUAGUGUGAGCUGUGAUUCUCAAGGCAACAUAGAGAAAAAGCAAAGAUAAAAUGGUUCCAAGAAUUUGGAUAUCCAUGGUGGUGGUGGGAGAGAGAGAGAGUGUGUGUGUUACAAAUAUGGGAAUAUAAUUGCGUGUAGGAUUUCAUUUUGCAUGUGUAUUUAUAGACACGGUUUGACAAUGCAAUUUUUAGAAACAAGAUACGUCUCUUUCAAAAACAAACAAACAAAAAAAUUAGGUACGUGUACGUAUCACAUAAUGUUGAAUGCAGCAGCAGGACGAUUCGUAUCACAUGCAUUGAGAUACACAAUGGAUGCUCACCACAUCUCAAAUAUAUAGAAUAAUUAGAUAUUUAAUUUUUUUCUCUUUCCAACAUCUCUGGUCUUCAUUCACUGGAGUGUCGGUUGGAGUUUGAUACUUUAAAAUAUAUAUAUAUAUGCGGGAUAUUUUGACUUUAUAUAUUCGUAUAUACAUUACUACUAAAUUAUGAACAUACAAAUAGGUGUUUGUAGGCUUAUUAAAACUAAAUUAACUAACUGCGAGGUCUAACUUAUUGAAAAUAGGUCUUAAUUUGUAGACUAGUGGUCUCAAUCUCACAUGUUCAAACCCCAAUGAAUUAUGUAAAAAGCCUUUAUUUGUAUAAUGAACUCCUCCCCAUAUCUUUUGUAUUAAAAAAAUAUGUAAAAAUAAAUAUAUUAUUUUGUAGGUAUAUUAAUGUGUCUACCUAUAUGCUCAAGGUCAAUGUCCAUAGAUCUUAUUCAAAAUUGGGGACCUAAUUUUCUUUUUCUUGUUUGCCAUGAUUAUAUAGGAAACUAAUUCCUAGUUCCCAAUUGUUCAUGAAGAUGGAAUUGAUACCCUUUUUUUUCUUUGUACUCUACUUUUAAGUAGAAGUGAUAGUCUAAAUUAUAGGGAGGAGAUUUCACACACACAUAACCAAGAUGUUAUGGGAGUUCGAACCUGAGACCUCAAUACCAUUUUUCAUUAGCUAGGCUGAACCUUGUUCACUUUGUACUCGAGUUACACGACGGUAAUGUUUACUAUUUUGAUGCAUCCAGCUAGCUAGGUAACACUAACAAAUAGUAAAUCAAAAUAAUUUAAAGGUUCUUUUGUAUUAACGACAGUGCUGUUUCCUAUCUCAGGAAAAGCCAUGAGCGGUGUCGGUGCCGGUGCUGUAAAUGAUUGGACCCAGUACAGAGAGCAUUGGCACUGAGAUAUUUGAGGUCCGUGAGGGCAUUGCUGACUGUGAAAAAAAGAAAGACAAACUUACUUGGGCCCUAUAGAGGUCGUCCUCCUAAUAUGAUUUCAAACUUUCCAUGCCACUCGUAAAUAUUCAAAUACUCGUUAUUGGCGAUUUUCACACCUCAUAAACCCUAACAAAACAAAGCCUUCCAUUGCAUUGACAGGUGGCACAGUUCAUAUAUCAUUGAACAACCAUUACGUACCAAAUUAACACGUGACUUCUAAAUUCCUAUAGUAAAUUCUGGGUGGCUAUGAAUUCUAAGGUUAAACGUGUGGAAGAAAAAACACAUGAAUCAAACACAGAAAGAGAUGUUCUACAAGGUUGCUCCUUCGAUGUAAAUCCUGGUUGAAAAGUAUGAGGCCUUUGAAAACAUAUGGACGAGAUUUCGUUGCCAGUUGAAAAAUAUCAGCCACAAACCGAAAUGGAAUCUCAUUGUUAUCUUUACAUAGCAUACUGAUAGUGAUGAUACUUUGAUGUGGGGAUCUUGGUCGAAAACGUUUUCCACGUAUCGAUGGUUUAUGUUAUAACACAUGAAUAAUAAUGUUACACUUGUAUACCAAUCAAACCUUGCCAACGGGGUGUAUUUCAGUGGACAAAAGUGCAUUGAUUUGUAGACCAACAGUAUUAAGUUUGAACCCUCUUUUUUUUUUCCGGUAGUUAGAAACAAGUUUUAUUAAGAAGCACAAAAGAGAGCAAAACAAAAUUGAGGCCACCACAAGAAACCAAUGGCCGAGCCAUGCGAAAAACCCACUACAUAGAUAAAGUUCACUACAAACAUAAAGCCCACAAAAAAAAUAUUCCAUAACUUAUCAACUGUUUGUGCAGGUGGAUAAAAUAAGGGAUAGUCUGAAUUUGGGUUCAUAUAUAUAUAUAUAUAUAUAUAUUUUCAAACGAUGGAAUUUGGGUUCAUAUAUUGGUUUCUUAGUAAAAUUGUAGUAAUUGUUUCUCAAAUAAGACCAUACUUUUCGUUUCUCAACUCCAAAAAUUGUUAUAAACUGUGUAAUGACCCAUACUUUUCGUUCAAUAACUUAUCAACUGUGUAAUGACCCAAACCUAAAAUUCAUAUUUAAUUAGUAAUUUAUUAUGUGGAAAGACAAUUUUGCCCUUAGAAUAAUUUAAUAACGAAAAGUUGAUUUUUUGACCGAAAGAAAUUUGACAAUUUCACAUACACCGUUGCGUAGAGCACCACGACACGAGUUCGUAGACACGAAGUGGACUCGAAUAGGAGUUUUAACAAAGAAAAUACGAUUAAAAUAUCAUGAGGGGUAAAAUGGUAAAUUAAAAAAAUCAGAUUUUUAAAACCUCACUUCUCUAUCUUCUCCCUCAGUUUCCUCUCUCUCUCUCUCUCUCUCUCUCUCUCUCUCUCUCUCUCUCUCUCUCUCUCUCUCUCUCUCUCUCUCUCCCUCCCGCUGUCUUCCUCCAGCCGUCACCUUCCAAGCGCCAGAACUCCCGCCACCGACCACCUCUGCCCCUGCCGUCAGUGCCAACAGGACCAGCUCGGUUCCGUCUUCAAGCCCAGACCACUCUCCGAUACCAGCCACCGCUGUUUUCGCCGGAUUCCGUCCAAAAACGAGCUGGUUUUGCAUAGUUUUGCAACCGUUCGUUCUCCUUCAAUUCUCCUCCAAAUUUGUCGAGUAAGGUAUGGAUUUCUACCUAUUUUCCAUGCUCUAGCUGAUGGUUGGGUAGGUUUGCAUCGAUUUUGACCGUAGCUAGCUCAGUUUUCAAAUUGAAAUUCGACCGAUUUUCGGCCUCCGUGUUCGGCCACUUCCGGUCAGUUUUUGGGUAGAUCCAAGAACAAAAGUGGUUCUAAAUAUAGUGUUAUACAUAGGGUAGGAGUUUGGAGCCGUGAUUUUGAGAUUUUCCGGUGAUGCGUAAUAGCUUUGGACACCCAGCGCUGCCGGCGCGUGGGCGAGGGUGGUGCAGUGACACUACAUCCUGAUGCAAUCCUUAGGUUGUCACGAGCGCGUAGGAAUUCGCGGAUCUCAAUUUGGAUACCGUUUGAGCCUCGAACGAAUUUUCCAUAUUGUGCGAUCUCCGGGUUCAAUACUGUUGAGCCGUUGGAUCGGAAUCAAUUUUAGAUAUGUUACUCUAGAUAAUUUUAAAAACGUGUAGGACUCGACGGAUUGUGAAACGGAGUCCCGGAUACUCCGACAUCGCGAAUCCUAGGGCUAGGGUUUAGGAAUUAUGCGAUUACACGAUUGUGAUCAAUCCGACCGUCCGAUCGACACCAAUACCCUCGGGACAUGUGUCCUAAAUAUAUUAGACCUUCUAACGGCUUCCGUAUCAUCUUGUGAGGUCAUAGACCCGUGGGGUCCCGGGUUGAUCGUUUUGGGACUUUAACGUUUUUUGAGUCCCAAGAUACCGCUAAACUAUCCCACGUGGAAGGAAAGCUUUUAUGGACAUAGGGAUAACUUUAAAUUGACGCACGUACUUUUAGGAGCCGGGAGUAGGGUUUUUAAGUUCAUACUAUAUUAUAUUAAUAGAUUAUUAUGGUCAUUGAAUCAGGCACCCGGGCACCAGUUGACCCGCAGGAGUGACCUUCAAGAGGUCUAGCGAGCUUGGACUAUCACUGAGUGGACUCUUUGUUUUAAUAAAUGAAUUCAAGCAGUUCAGUUUCAGUUAUAAGCUGUUUUAUUCUGUUAAAUAUUUUAUGUUGUAUGCUGCCGAGUAAAAACUUUUUUAAAGAAUAUAGGAAAAGAUAUUCUCGUUAAUGAUCAGAUAAAUGGCAGCAGAAUUUUAAAGGUUACAGAAAGUUAAUUAUUCAACAGUUUUACUUCAGAAACUUUAUAUUUUCUUAAACCACCUUGUACCCAGAUAUUAAAUGUUGCCUUCGGAUUAUAUUGGUUGCCUUCGGUUUAGUCAGCAUGCUUGACAGUUACCCCACGAGUUCCUUGGUACUCGAACUCGUGUGGAGCGAGUAAUGCGGAUCAGGUGGACCACGGUCCCCUGCAUCCUACCAGUUGCAGCUCGGACUGACUUCGUGUCACUGAGAUCUGCGAGUAUGUGUCACCCAUGGUGAUGCAAGGAAUUGACGGAUAUAAGAAAUUGACAGAAAUAAGGGUACACCUAGGUGAUAGUUUUAAACUGUUCUCAAAUGUAUAAUUAUAUACAUGCAUUGAUUUCAAAAAUAAAGAAAAUAAGUUAGUUUGUAUAACUGUUUUUACAGUGGGGUUAGUAUGUUCAUAUGCUAUUUUUCUAAACUUUGUUUUUGAGUCCACUCACCCUUCUUAUUGUUUUGCACCCCCAGGCAGUAGACGUGCACAGGAAUCCACCACCGGGCCAUUUUCCAUCUUCCGCGCCUUUCUUUUGAUGUAGGAUUUUUGUUUUGUAAAAGAAUUGAUUCCUUGUAAAUUCUUAGUAAUUGCUCUGAUGUUUUGCCCUAGACUGAGAAUGGAACUGUUGGAAUGUAUAUAUACGUAUGCUGGCAGUUAGUUGUAUAUAUAUAUAUAUAUAUAUAUACUUGUUUGGCAGGUAAAAAUGUUUUGGUAUUGAGCCAGUUAUAAAGGAAACUCUACCGGUUUUUCAGUAGACGUUAACCUUAUUAAUUUACCAUGUUUUGUAUAGAAGGGCAAAUAGGUCAUUUGUGCCAGACAUUCGCCAGGUGUCGGACACGCACAGGGUCUGGCUCGGAUUCCAAAGCGGAAUUUGGAUCGGGUCCUGUCAAACUGUUUGUGCAGGUGGAUAAAAUAAGGGAUAGUCUGAAUUUGGGUUCAUAUAAUUUUUUUUUUCAAACGAUGGAAUUUGGGUUCAUAUAGUUGUUUCUUAGUAAAAUUGUAGUAAUUGUUUCUCAAACAAGACCAUACUUUUCGUUCCUCAACUCUAAAAAUUGUUAUAAUCGUCCUUCAAUUAGAUCUAUCGUUGCAUCACUCGUCCUUUCCGUCAGUUCUGUUGUUUUUCCUUCAAAAUUAAUGGUAAAUUAGAAAAUUCAUAUCAAAUUUUAUUAGAUAAAUAAACUCAUUCAUAAAAAUGAAAAUAAAAACCAGUCUCCCCACCCCCACCAAGCAACUGAACCAACCACUGGCAUUGCCCCUACCCCUACCCCUACCCCUACCCCCUCCCUCGGAUAAAGACCUCUCUCUCAAUUUCCUGCAAUACAGAACCAAAUGCCACCAAGUCAUAGAAGCUCCAGAAUGCAAGAACAGCCACAAUAUACCAUCAACAAAAUCUACUUUUUUUUUAUCAACACAGAGAGUCAUUGUCCCCUACCUGCCGUUCGGGGUCUACCAAAAAUCACAAACCCACCCCCAAAAAAGAGAGAAAAAAAGAAAAUGGCUUUAUCUCCUUCCUCCUUCCCACUUUCCCUUUCUGUGAGUGCCUGUAAUCUAAUAAUGGCUUCCAUUUCCAAACUCUCCAAUCCAGCACUGCUUCAUACUUAUCGUCCACUUUUUUUUAAUCGAGAGAAGGGGGAGUAGGGGUAGGGUUUCGGGUAGAAGGAGGUGGUGACUAGGUAGUCUUAUAAUACCCAAACCACCAUAUUGUAAUUCAUGAUUCAAUACCUUCUGUCACGUGUCUGUUAGUUAGGGAUGAGCUGGCUGUUAGUUUCUGUUAACUUAAUUUGCUAGUUAGUUAGCUAAAAUAUAUAUAAGUCUUGAACUGUAAGUUCUGGAAUUCAUCUAAUGAGAAAAUCAGUUUCACAAUAUAUCAGUUUCUCUCUGUUUCUGUUUCUUUCUCUCUCGAUACCUCUAUUUCUCAAAGCUUACUUGAGCUCAUCAAUGGCUUCAAUGAAGAAAGCUUUCAUUAUUUGCCCCUAAAAUUUAAUAUGAAUUUCACAAUUUGCCCUUAAUUUUGACAAAAAAUUUAACAGAAUCAAGAGAAGUACGACUAGUGCAAUGCAAUAUCUAAAUAAAGGACGAUGAUGACAAUUUUUGGGGUUGAGGAACGGAAAGUAAAAUGGGGCCAUAUUUGAGGGACCAUUGCUACAAUUUUACCUUGUUUCUUCAAAACUUUGUUUUAAGUACUGUUUUUUAUUUUAUUUUAUUUAGUAAUGAACGAAGUUUUAAGUGUUAUUUGUGAAGAGCCACUGUAUGAAUUUUACAAACAAAUCAAUUAAAUUUCAUAUAGAACCCAAUUUUUUUCAGAAGUAGAAAGUCAAUAUAAUUGUCACAAACUCACCUAUUGGAAUCAGUUUUGCAAAGGAGGGAGUACUAUUAUUACUUCAUCAAAACUGAUCAAAUGGGGUAAGAAAAACAACCCUCGUUGAACAUCAUGGGUUGGGCUUGGGCACGAAAAACCAGAGUGUUUCUGCAACCUGGAAGUUAUUGACUGAAAGGGUGAGACUGAAGGAAAAAAAAAAACUACGAGGACGAAAGUGAAAAUUUGUGUAAUAAGAACGACCAUUAAUCUUGUAAUGGUCAAAUAUUAAAAUUACAAAACCCCCCGGAAUAUUAAAAAAAAUAUUUAAACCAGAUGUAACCUCCAAAUAAACGUAAAAAUACAUAUCAAAUUCACCAGUUGCAAGCAGGGAUCGUAUCAAAUUCACCAGUUACCAGUUGCAAAUUGUCACCAUAGUCAGCCAGCCCUCAUGGAUUUUCUUUCUCAUCUAUACUAGCAAUUGUAGGGUUUUUAUAGAGGUGAAGAGGAAGGCGUGGAGAUAGCAAAGCCUCCAGGGGAUUUGCUUUGGGCAGGGCAAGCCCCAGCCCUUCACGCAUGUCCACUGCCUCCUCACAAACCCUGCUCAUAUCAAAACCCUGAACCAAACGAGCUAGAAUUAAUUGGACCACUUGCAGCCCCAAAACCAUGCCAGGGCACGACCUCCUACCCGAGCUGAACGGAAUAUACUCAAAAUUAUUCUGAUCUUUGAAUUCCACGUCAGCAUGGGUGGUCAUGAACCUCUUGGGUUGGAAUUCACCUGGGUUGGCCCACAUGCGUGGGUCCCGCUGCAGUUUCCAAAUGUUGACUAGUACACGGGUGCCCUUGGGCACAUGGUAGCCAGCCAGAUGGCAAUCCUCCGUGGCUUCACGCAGGCCUGCAAGUGGGCCAGGUGGGUAUAUGCGUAGGGUUUCUUUGAGAAUGGCUUGGAGGUAUUUGAGGUUAGGGAGGUCUGAUUCUUGUACCCAUCUGUCUCUUCCUACGUGGAUGUCCAGUUCUUGUUGGGCAGCUUUCAGGGUUGUUGGGUUGUUCAGUAGUAGGGAGAGUGCCCAUGUUAGAGUGACGGAUGUGCUUUCUGUGCCAGUUAGGAUUAGAACC